GCACAGCUGGAAGGGAGUGAACUGGAGCUCCAGGUUCAGGCAGCUCUCUGUAGGGAGAGCACAGGUGGAUGGAUCUGGCGACUAGAGGUCCUCCCCUGCCCUCCCCACUCCUCUUUUCCAGGCCACACUCACGGGCAAUGGAGUCAAGGUUGUACUCAGAGCCAGGCUCGUAGUCACAGUAAAUGUUGAGGAAGGGGCUGCCCUUGUCCCCUGAAUCCUGGGGAAGGAAAGUGGCCUCAGGGGAGAGGAGGGGCUGCCAAAGGGAUCUGGGUGGCACCAUGUGCAUGAAGAGAGCAGGGAACAGGGAUAAAGGCAGAACAAAAUACGUGCAUGCACCUAGAAUCCCAGAAGGCAGUGACUGGAUCUCCCUUGGUCAGAUACCCAGCACCUGGACCAUGAGGCCUGACAUAAAGCAAACAUUUAGCAUUGGUAAUCCGUUUCAGGUCUUUGGAGUCUUAACCAAGCUCUCAGCACAAUUGACUAGGCUGUGGAAGGAGCCGAAGGAGACAGAAGAGCAGGUCACGGAGUCCUAUGUGGUCACUUUCUACCUGAAGAACCAGAACUUUUCAAAUCCCUGGCUCUAGGCUGGGACAUGCCUCAAGGAGCCACCCCUCCUCUGCAUCACUGGCCAUCUACUUCCUGAUACUGCCUGCCUUAGGUGCUGAGCCUUCUUCAGCCCUGUGCCCCCCUCCAGCACCCAUCAGUCCAUUCACCUGCAAUACAGAUCUACAGGGUGGACCAUGGAAUGGUGGGUGGUUCUUGCCUGCCUUUUCUGGAGAA